rnacentral:rRNA from 1 species
AACGAACGCUGGCGGUAUGCUUAACACAUGCAAGUCGAACGAACAAAAUUGGGGCUUGCUCCAAUUUUAGUGAGUGGCAAACGGGUGAGUAACACGUGGGAAUCUACCUAUCAGUACGGAAUAACAUUUGGAAACAGAUGCUAAUACCGUAUAUUCUCCAAGGAGGAAAGAUUUAUCGCUGAUAGAUGAGCCCGCGCAAGAUUAGGUAGUUGGUAGGGUAAUGGCCUACCAAGCCGACGAUCUUUAGCUGGUCUGAGAGGAUGAUCAGCCACACUGGGACUGAGACAAGGCCCAGACUCCUACGGGAGGCAGCAGUGGGGAAUAUUGGACAAUGGGCGAAAGCCUGAUCCAGCAGUACCGCGUGAAUGAUGAAGGCCUUAGGGUUGUAAAGUUCUUUUAGUUGGAAAGAUAAUGACGGUACCAACAGAAAAAGCCCCGGCUAACUCCGUGCCAGCCGCCGCUGUAA